AUUGAACGCUGGCGGUAUGCUUAACACAUGCAAGUCGAGCGAUGAAGUUCCUUCGGGAAUGGAUUAGCGGCGGACGGGUGAGUAACACGUGGGUAACCUGCCUCAUAGAGGGGAAUAGCCUUUCGAAAGGAAGAUUAAUACCGCAUAAGAUUGUAGUAUCGCAUGAUACAGCAAUUAAAGGAGUAAUCCGCUAUGAGAUGGACCCGCGUCGCAUUAGCUAGUUGGUGAGGUAACGGCUCACCAAGGCGACGAUGCGUAGCCGACCUGAGAGGGUGAUCGGCCACAUUGGGACUGAGACACGGCCCAGACUCCUACGGGAGGCGGCAGUGGGGAAUAUUGCACAAUGGGGGAAACCCUGAUGCAGCAACGCCGCGUGAGUGAUGACGGUCUUCGGAUUGUAAAACUCUGUCUUCAGGGACGAUAAUGACGGUACCUGAGGAGGAAGCCACGGCUAACUACGUGCCAGCAGCCGCCGUAACAC
rnacentral:rRNA from 1 species